UCAGAAUGCGGAAGUAUCAAAAGUAUCGAUAUUUUGAUUUCAGAAUCGAUUUCAGAGCAUAAAGAUCCAGAAUCGGAAGUAUCGAUAUUUCAGGAUCGAUCCGCACAUCACUAGUCGGCAGACAAUUCCCGCGAAGAGAACGAAGGAUGAGGACAGCGAAAAUUAUGAGUGUUAACAUUUUACUUUGGUAUUUCUUAAUGCCCUUUUCAUUUAGUUUCUUUCUCUUUUGACAUAACCGGGGUGCGCUGUGUUGCCACAGCUUCAGUUUCACAAUAUUUGAGAAUCGUGACGGUGUUCCAUCAGAGGAAGACUCUGAAUGCACAGCCAUUGCUGAUACAGAGGUUACACAGGAGAAUGAGGUAUGAUUGUCCACACUCCAUUUGUUUCUGAAGGCAGCUGUAUACUUAGUUAUGCCUCAACUAGUCAUUAUUGAGACAAAAUUGAACUUAAAGUUGUGAAAUGGUUUGUUUGUAGCAGUUUGUUAUAAAAUUAUGAAUAAAAAUCAAUUUGAGCAAUUUUGCUUUUCUGACAUUGUUUUCCAGAACUCAGACAUCUCCAGUGACAGUAGCACAAUAAUUGUUGACCACUCUUUAAACGAUGAGAUUGUGGACUUAUUUGUACCUGCCCUCAUCAGAGCAGACAGUGUUAUUAUAAGUGUAGUGGUGUGGCCUCGCUCAGCUGAGUGUUCCCGGUUUAUUUUACAUAGAGGACAAGAUAUAGGGUACAGUGGGUGAAGUCGGCAGCAUUGUACUUACCUUUUGCACUUAAGGCUUUUAGAAGUGUAAUAUCUGAUAUAAGAACAAAAGUUUAACUGUGCUCCACAAUUCUGAAAUCUCUCACUUUUUAGGUUAAUGAGAAAAAGUAUGGAUAUGCAGAUGAAAGAGAGGAAUCCCUUUCAAGCUCAGAUUUCAGUGAGGAUGAAUAUCUUCCCAGUAACACAUCAUCUGAUGAAACGGAUGACCGUUCUGCAAAAGUCCACCAUCGCAAGAGUAAGAGAAUACCCCAGAAAACCCUUCCACCUGACUCUGAAGUACAAGUCACAGGAGAAUCUUCUUCAGCUGGUACUCCUGCAGUGACUGUCCCAAUGUUCGAGAAGAAAAAAGGUGGUGGCAGAAUGUACAACAAAAGGUUCUUCUGUGUCUUCUGCUUUAAGUCUGUUGGCAAAAUGGCACGUCACUUAGAAUCCAGACAUAAAAACGAACCAGAGGUGGCAAGAAUACUUGCGUUUCCAAAAGGUUCAAAAGAACGAAGAAUACAAUUUAACUUAUUGAGAAACAAAGGCAACCGUGUCCAUAAUAAUCAAGUAAUUCAAGAAGGAAAGGGAAUGGUGAUACCUCAUCAGCUGUCCAAGACACCUGUAAAGUCUUCUGAUUAUAUGCACUGUGUUAAUUGUGAAGCCUAUUUGAAGAGGACAUACCUUUGGAAGCACAUGCAGCGAUGUCAUCUGAGCAGAAAGGUUGGUACUCUAAAGCCAGGGAAAACCAGAGUACAAGCGCUGUGUGCACAUGCUCAGCCAGUUUCUAACCAUAUAAGUGUAGCCUUUUGGAAGAUGGUAAAUGACAUGAAUGAAGAUGAAAUCAAAUAAUAAACCGCCCUAACUGGGAUUCAAACUUGCCCAGGAGGUGGACCCCGGAGUUCCACACCAAUGACAGACACAUUGCCUCUGGGCCAAAGCGCCACCUGCAUGAAGCAAUGAUAAUAAAUUAAAUUCUUCCAACACUUUUACACUAAAUGUCUGUUUUUCAUUCAGACACAUCCAAAAACCAAAAAAAAAGGAGGUGGCAGGAGGAGGAAGUCCAAGCUGUGGAGAAGACUCUGCUUCACAAAAUCAAGAGUGGGAAGGUUCCAGGAAAAGAUGAGUGUAUGCAGUGUAUUGAGGCCUCGCCUGAUGCUCUUAAAAGAAGGGAUUGGAAGACAGUAAAAUGUUAUGUUAAAAAUCGCAUUGAUACUUUGAAGCGAGCGACUUUAAGGUAGGCCUUGACAUUUUCUAUAUCCCAUUAUAUGGAGGAGGCAAAUUUGCCUUUAAGUUCUUGUUUAAUGUUUUUUAAGAAGCACUUUUGUUGGUCCACUAUCUACAGGAUGCACUAAGUUACUGUAUUGCAUGGAUAUAAACCCUGCGUUUUAUAUACCAUCCACUCAUCCGUCUUUCACAGUGUUACUCUUUUUAGGCUUACAGGGGUCAAUCACAGCUAACAUCAAGCAUUGGAUAUGCCACAUAAAGAGACAAAAACGUUCUAGAGUAGGGAGAGGAGUACCAUUUUGAAAUGCGUCUAGAGAAAAAUCUAAAAUUAUUUUAAUUUUCAUUGAAAUGUUUAUUUUAUAAUUAUUUCUUCAGCAUGACAGCAAUGAAACAGACAACAGUCUGAAUGUCAUCUACCACAAGGGUAAGAAAAAACCCUCGAUACCUCAGUCUGAAGUAAAAGUCACAGGAGAAUCCUCUAGGAGAAUCUUAUAAUAUAAUAUAAUCUAAUAUAAUAUAUAUAAUAUAUAUUAUAUAUAAUACAUAUAAUAUACACUAUAUUACCAAAAGUAUUGGCUCACCUGCCUUGACUC